rnacentral:lncRNA from 1 species
UUUUUUUUUUUUUUGUCUUUUGUCUUUUUAGGGCUGUACCCGUGGCACAUGGAGGUUCCCAGGCUAGGGGGUCUAACUGGAGCUGCAGCUGCUGGCCACAGCUGCAUCUGUGACCCACACCACAGCUCACAGCAACUCUGGAUCCUUAACCCACUGAGCAAGGCCACGGAUCGAACCCGAAACCUCAUGGUUCCUAGUCGGAUUCGUUUCCACUGCGUCACGACGGGAACUCCAUCAUGAUGCUUAAACUUACAUAUGUGUUAACAUGCUCCCUGUAGUUCUCGGGGGAUCUCAACAGAUUUGAGUUUUGUGUACUGAUUUUAUGUGCCUCAUGUAAGGUAAGACUGGGGUCCAGUUUUCCCAACAGCAUCUGCUGAAGAGACUCUCCCUUCCCCACUGCAUGCUCUUGACUCCUCUGCCAUAAGUUAACUGACCAUGUGUGCAGGGCUUCAUUUCUGAGUUCUCUCUUCUCUUUCAUUGUCACUGUUUCACUUCACUAAAUAUUCUUUCAAGGUCAUUAAAAAAAACCAAAAAACAAACAAGAGCAAGCAAGGAACUGGGAUUCAGGAGUUCAAAGUCCAAAGUGGGCCCCAUCACUGGACGUUUGUGUGACUUGGUCUGCGCGCCUAACCUCACGGCCUGGGAUCUGGGCUAGCUGGCCCCCGAGGCUCCUUCCACGUGGACUGUGCACUGCACCCUGUCUUUCAGUAGCCCCCCGAAGGCCUACAACUAGGCUUCAAUUCCAAAGCCACCGCUGGAGUUCCCAUCAUGGCUCAGCAGAAACAAACCUGACUAGUGUCCAUAAGGACGCAGGUUUGAUUUCUGGCCUCGCCCAGUAGGUUCAGGAUCCGGCACUGCCGUGAGCUGUGGUGUAGGCUGGGAGCUGUAGCUCCAAUUCAACCCCUAGCCUGGGAAUCUCCAUAUGCUGCAGGUACGGCCCUAAAAAAGAAAAAAGAAAAAAAAUUAUUUGGGCGUGUCCUAGGUGAAAGGCACUGUUUUUGACACUGAAGGGUGAACACAGUAAAGUCCCUGUCUCUAGGAACUGACGGUGUAGUCGAAAUCUAUACAGAAAACAAUGCAAGACGAGUCUUUGUUAGCUGUUAGGAUACAGAGGGGACGGCCUCUCUGCUUUAAGCUGGUGAGGCUCCGCAGGGCUAGUUUAGAUUUUUGGUUGUGUUGUUUUUUUUUUUUUUUUUAAGAAUACAAACUGAUUUAGGGAGUAUUUCACUUUCUGCUCGUUUUUCUCAAGACUCGAAGAAACAGAAACUGAUUAAAAUCACCUUACAACAAGUCAAACAACUGUUAAUACAGACCAGAACAAUUUUUCAGAGUAAGAAGUCCAGUGAAACACUUCAGCUGAAAAAUAUCUACUAAGGACUUUUUAGACACCAGGCAGUGCUGUCAAUCGUUUGCAGAAAGUAAAACAUGGCCCACGGAAUGAACUAAAAGGGCAAAGACUGACUGGAAAUCAGCAGCAAACAGCAGCUAUUCCCUGGGUGGGGAUGCGAACAGGACAUGUCCCAACAUGUGAGAGACUCAAAAGUUUAAUACAAUAAACACACCUAUCCCCCAAACAAAAACGUUAGAGUAAAGGUACAUGAAUGAUGGUGCAGGAAACGGCAAAAGCCGUCUCAGAAGAGGGUUGAGGAGUUCCCGUCAUGGCGCAGCAGAAACGAAUCUGAUUAGGAACCAUGAGGUUACAGGUUGGAUCCCUGGCCUUACUCAGUGGGUUAAGGAUCUGGCGUUGCCAUGAGCUGUGGUGUAGGUCACAGACACGGUUUGGAUCUGGUGUUGCUAUGGCUCUGGUGUAGGCCGGCGUCACAGCAACGCGGGAUCCAAGCCAGUCUGCAGCCUACACCACGCCUCACUGCAACGCUGGAUCCUUAACCCACUGAGCACGGCCAGGGACGGAACCCGAAACCUCACGGUUCCCAAUCGGAUUCGUUAACCACUGCGCCACAAUGGGAACUCCAGGAUUUACUUUAAAAAAAUUUUUACACAAAACUCUACAUUAUUCGAAUUAACAAUGGCCUCAUUAAGAAUACUUUAUGCAGCUGACCCUUUAACGACACAGGUUUGAACCGUGCGGGUCCGCUUAUACACAGAUCCUUUUCAAUGAUACCUAUCUGUACUCCUGAGUAUAUUUUCUUUGCCUUGUGCUUUUCUUAAUAACAUUUUCUUUUUCUAGCUUACUUUAUAGGCUGACUGGACCAGGCACUGCCUGUGUGGGUUUGGGGGAGGCAUCACAGCAGCUCCAUGAGAUGGGCAUCGUUACCCCAGUUUUGCAGCCAAGGCACCGAGUGACUGAGAAGGACACAGAGCGACGUACAUGUUUGGCCUCCCGUGACCAAACAUUCUCCAGGGAACAUUCAACCACCCCAGCUAAAAUAAAAUUAAUUUCAAAUGACUUGGAGGACAACUUGCGAGCUCAGAAAAUCAGAGAGCAAGACAGGGGGUCUUUUGCCGUUUUCUUUUUGGCUACACCCGCAGUCUACUCAAAGUCCCAGGCCAGGGAGCGAGUCGGCACCACAGCAGUGAAAACACCAGAUUCCCCAUCUGCUAGGCCACCAGAGAACUAAGUGAUUGGUCUGACCUUUUUUCCUUUUCUUUUUUUAAAUUAGGGACAGUUCUAUCAUCUAAGAAAUUCUGAAAUCUCCUGCCACUCUGCAUUACAGACUCCAUUCUCCCCAACACUCUCACUGACCGGAGGACUUCUCAAAAUACGCUAAAGCCUUUUCAGACAGUUUCCCUGCUUGAUGGCUUCCUGGACCCCUCCAGAUGAUCUGCAAGGCUCCGUUACCUGUUGUCUAAUCAUUAAUGUUUCACAGAUGUCCACAGCUGCUGCCUCUGCAGGAUCCUGGCUGGUUUCAUGUAACAAGCGACUAAUCCCUCCACUUUGUCAACUGGUAUUCUGACACUUAAGUAGCGGCGAUUCUGAAACGUCUUCAAUGGAUGUCAUACAUGCUGUCCUUUUCUACCUCGAUGGCAUAAGAAACUCAAGAAGCCUUUCACCAAAGUCAAAGAUAAUUAAAGCAGAAUGUCCCUGUAUUGCAAAGAAGAGAUAAAAAUAUUUUGGGAAAAAACAUCCACAUGUUCAUUGACGAAGGCUGAGAAUAGCAUACUCCCCUUUUCAUAGCAGAAGCAGCCAAUUCACAUAAACCUUCCCCCGAACUGAUUUAUAAGAUGGCCUGGAUGAAAUCUCUAACACUUGGCCAUGGGUUUCCGCCAGUAACACACUGGACAUGGCUUCCAAAGGUGUGGGGGAGGCCCUGGGCCCCAAAUGCAAACAGCACAAUGGACCCGUCAUGACGGGAAAGAAGCAAGAUUUAAAGGAUUGGGGGGGGAGAUAAAGCCUUCAUCAAUCUAAGCAUUUCAUCUAGCAGAGGGCUGUGCUGCCUUUUGACUUAUGUCCGAAGGGAGGUUUGAAGAAGAGAAAAAUAGUGCUCACACAUGGACCAAAGCAGUUUCUCUCCUGGGUUCCUGAGCUCCUAUGUCCAAUGCCAGCGGGAGUCAACAUGCAAUGCCCGCCCCCAUCUCCACCUGCCCUAUCCAACUCAGGGGCAGCUCCUUCCUACAGCUACUCCACACUAUCAACCACAGGCACAGCGCAGCACAGAACAUGCGGGUCCUGCCACAUGCGGUGUUUUUGUUUUUCUCUUUUUUGGCCAUCCCCAAGGCAUGCAUAAGUUCCCAGGUCAGUGAUGGAACCCAUGCCACAGCAGCAACCUGAGCCACAGCAGUGACAAUGCUGGAUCCCUAAUUUGCUGAGCCACCAGGGAACUGCACUAGGACAGUUUCUAAAACAUAUUAAAUGUUCAACUAAAAA